CAGGAAGAGGCAGAUUCUGGUUGGU
rnacentral:piRNA from 1 species